GGACGAACGCUGGCGGCGUGCUUAACACAUGCAAGUCGAACGGAAAGGCCCUGCUUUUGUGGGGUGCUCGAGUGGCGAACGGGUGAGUAACACGUGAGUAACCUGCCCUUGACUUUGGGAUAACUUCAGGAAACUGGGGCUAAUACCGGAUAGGAGCUCCUGCUGCAUGGUGGGGGUUGGAAAGUUUCGGCGGUUGGGGAUGGACUCGCGGCUUAUCAGCCUGUUGGUGGGGUAGUGGCUUACCAAGGCUUUGACGGGUAGCCGGCCUGAGAGGGUGACCGGCCACAUUGGGACUGAGAUACGGCCCAGACUCCUACGGGAGGCAGCAGUGGGGAAUAUUGCACAAUGGGCGGAAGCCUGAUGCAGCAACGCCGCGUGCGGGAUGACGGCCUUCGGGUUGUAAACCGCUUUCGCCUGUGACGAAGCGUGAGUGACGGUAAUGGGUAAAGAAGCACCGGCUAACUACGUG
rnacentral:rRNA from 1 species